GCGCCCGUAGCUCAGUUGGAUAGAGCACCGGCCUUCUAAGCCGGGGGUCGAAGGUUCGAGUCCUUCCGGGCGCGCCA
rnacentral:tRNA from 2 species